UACGUAGGGUGCAAGCGUUUGUCCGGAAUUAUUGGGCGUAAAGAGCUCGUAGGCGGUUUGUCGCGUCUGCUGUGAAAACUCGGGGCUUAACCCCGGGCCUGCAGUGGGUACGGGCAGACUAGAGUGCGGUAGGGGAGACUGGAAUUCCUGGUGUAGCGGUGAAAUGCGCAGAUAUCAGGAGGAACACCGGUGGCGAAGGCGGGUCUCUGGGCAGUAACUGACGCUGAGGAGCGAAAGCGUGGGGAGCGAACAGG
rnacentral:rRNA from 1 species